GAUGAACGCUAGCUACAGGCUUAACACAUGCAAGUCGAGGGGCAGCAUGAACUUAGCUUGCUAAGUUUGAUGGCGACCGGCGCACGGGUGAGUAACACGUAUCCAACCUGCCGAUGACUCGGGGAUAGCCUUUCGAAAGAAAGAUUAAUACCCGAUGGCAUAGUUCUUCCGCAUGGUAGAACUAUUAAAGAAUUUCGGUCAUCGAUGGGGAUGCGUUCCAUUAGGUUGUUGGCGGGGUAACGGCCCACCAAGCCUUCGAUGGAUAGGGGUUCUGAGAGGAAGGUCCCCCACAUUGGAACUGAGACACGGUCCAAACUCCUACGGGAGGCAGCAGUGAGGAAUAUUGGUCAAUGGACGAGAGUCUGAACCAGCCAAGUAGCGUGAUGGAUGACUGCCCUAUGGGUUGUAAACUUCUUUUAUACGGGAAUAAAGUGAGGCACGUGUGCCUUUUUGUAUGUACCGUAUGAAUAAGGAUCGGCUAACUCCGUG
rnacentral:rRNA from 1 species